GAUGAACGCUGGCGGCGUGCCUAACACAUGCAAGUCGAACGGAGUCCAGCCUUUAAGACCUUCGGGUCAAAGAGGGGAAGACUGAGUGGCGGACGGGUGAGUAACACGUGGGCAACCUGGCUCAUAGAGGGGGAUAACAGAGAGAAAUUUCUGCUAAUACCGCAUAAGCACACACUGCCGCAUGGCAGAGGGUGAAAAGAGAAUCGCUAUGAGAUGGACCCGCGUCUGAUUAGCCAGUUGGCAGGGUAAGAGCCUACCAAAGCGACGAUCAGUAGCCGAUCUGAGAGGAUGAACGGCCACAUUGGGACUGAGACACGGCCCAAACCCCUACGGGAGGCAGCAGUGGGGGAUAUUGCACAAUGGGGGGAACCCUGAUGCAGCGACGCCGCGUGAGUGAAGAAGUAUUUCGGUAUGUAAAGCUCUAUCAGCAGGGAAGAUAAUGACAGUACCUGAAUAAGAAGCCCCGGCUAACUACGUG
rnacentral:rRNA from 1 species